AGAGUUUGAUCCUGGCUCAGAACGAACGCUGGCGGCAUGCCUAACACAUGCAAGUCGAACGAGACCUUCGGGUCUAGUGGCGCACGGGUGCGUAACGCGUGGGAAUCUGCCCUUGGGUUCGGAAUAACAGUGAGAAAUUACUGCUAAUACCGGAUGAUGACGUAAGUCCAAAGAUUUAUCGCCCAAGGAUGAGCCCGCGUAAGAUUAGCUAGUUGGUGGGGUAAAGGCCUACCAAGGCGACGAUCUUUAGCUGGUCUGAGAGGAUGAUCAGCCACACUGGGACUGAGACACGGCCCAGACUCCUACAGGAGGCAGCAGUGGGGAAUAUUGGACAAUGGGCGAAAGCCUGAUCCAGC
rnacentral:rRNA from 1 species